UAAGGAAUAUUGGACAAUGGUCGCAAGACUGAUCCAGCCAUGCCGCGUGCAGGAAGACGGCCCUAUGGGUUGUAAACUGCUUUUGUACCAGAGAAAACCUAUCUACGUGUAGAUAGCUGAUAGUAUGGUAAGAAUAAGCAUCGGCUAACUUCGUGCCAGCAGCCGCGAUAAGACGAAGGAUGCAAGCGUUAUCCGGAUUCAUUGGGUUUAAAGGGUGCGUAGGCGGGCUUGUAAGUCAGUGGUGAAAUCUCUCAGCUUAACUGAGAAACUGCCAUUGAUACUGCAGGCCUAGAGUAUAGAUGACGUUGGCGGAAUAAGACAUGUAGUGGUGAAAUACUUAGAUAUGUCAUAGAACACCGAUUGCGAAGGCAGCUAACGAAACUAUAACUGACGCUGAGGCACGAAAGUGCGGGGAUCAAA
rnacentral:rRNA from 1 species